ACGUGCAGGGUUACAAAUGCAUGUCCAAGUACAAACUGCUUUAUACAGAAAAACUGCGAAUGGCUCAUCAAAUCAGUUAUUGUUUAUUCAAUGGUACCUUACUACUCGGACAACCGUUGCAAUUCAAGAGCCAAUACGUGCGCAAAUCCCGACUUCUGGAAGGGACGUAUUUAUUGGACAAAAGGCCGACCGGGUUUUCCCGACCUGCGGAAAAUCAUUUCAACUUCACGAAUCGCAUGGCCUUUGCGCCGGCGAUGUUUCAUUCAAAUUUCUGCCCUAUCAACUUUCGAUGGUUGGAUGGAGGCCUACCAUGGUGGCAACGGGGGACGGAGGAUUUGGGUUCGAUUCCGGAGAGGGAGCCGGAGAAACGGCUACCACAUCCAAGGAAGGCAGCAGGCGCGCAAAUUACCCAAUCCAAACACAGGGAGGAAGAAACAACAAACAACAAUACCGGGCCUUUUGGUCUGGGAAUUGGAAAAAGAACAAUCGAAAUCCCUUAUCGAGGAUCCAUUGGAGGGCAAGUCUGGUGCCAGCAGCCGCGGCAAUUCCAGCUCCAAUACCGUAUAUUCAAGUUGUUGCAGUCAAAAAGCUCGGGGUUGGAUUUCGGGGGGACCUCGCCGGUCCGCCAUUGGGGGGCACUGGCGGGGGUUACCUUCCUGCCGGGGACGGGCUCCUGGGCUUUAUUGUCCGGGACUCGGAGUCCGGCGUUGCUACUUUUUGCAAAACGGAGUGUUCAAAGCAGGCCUACGCCUCCCACGAUAUUGCAUGGAAUGGCGCCCAAGGACUCUGGCCUAUCCCGUUGGUCUGUGGGCAUGGAGCAACCCUCAACAGGGACAGUCGGGGGCAUUCGUAUUUCAUUGUCAGAGGUCGAAUUUCUUGGAUUCAGGGAAGACCAAACUUCUGCGAAAGCAUUUGCCAAGGAUGUUUUCAUUCAUCAAGAACGAAAGUUGGGGGCUCGAAGACGAUCAGAUACCGUCGAAGUCUCAACCAGAAACGAUGCCGACCAGGGAUUGGCGGAUGUCCCUUAUACAUCUCCGCCAGCACCUUAUUCGAAAUCAAAGUUUUUGGGUUCCGGGGGGAGUAUGGUCGCAAGGCAAAAACUCAAAGGAAUUUUCGGAAGGGCACCACCAGGCGUGGAGCCUGCGGCUCAAUUCCCCUCAACACGGGAAAACUUACCAGGUCCAGACAAAGUUUGGAUGGGCAGAUAUCGAGCUCUUUCUCAAUUCUAUGGGUGGUGGUGCAUGGCCGUUCUCAGUUGGUGGGUUGCCUUGUCAGGUGGGUUCCGGCAACGAACGAGACCUCAGCCUGCCAAACAGUCACUUCCGCUUUUUGCGGUUGGCAGACUUCUCAGAGGGACUAUUGGCGUCCAGCGAAUGGAAGUACGAGGCAAGAACAGGUCUGCGAUGCCCUCAGAUGUUCUGGGCCGCACGCGCGCUACACUUUUGCAUUCAACGAGCCUAUCCUUGGGCGAGAGGCCCCGGCAAUCUUACAAACUGCAUCGUUAUGGGGAAAGAUUAUUUGCAAUUAUCAGUCCUUCAACGAAGAAUGCCUA
rnacentral:rRNA from 1 species